rnacentral:lncRNA from 1 species
UUUUUUAUUUUUGGUUUUAUUUUAUGUGACGGUAUUUGAUUAGACGUUUGAUCCGUUUGAAAAAAAAUAAGAGAUUUUGGUGUGUUUGGGGUGGCCUAAGGCUGUCAAUCAUUGAAAAAUUAUAUUGUGGUAUAUAGUUAGGUAAACUUAUAUUGUCGUAUAUGUAUAUGUGUUACUAUAUAUUAUUUUUAAUUUUUUAUGUUAUUUUAUGUGACAGUAUUUGAUUAGACGUUUGAUCAGUUGGAAAAAAGAUAGAGAGAUUGAGUGUACGUGGAGUGGCCUAGCCAUAUAUGUUCAUGUAUUUUAGGGGAGUCAAUCAUUGAAAAAUUAUAUUGUGUUAUAUAGUUACGUAAAAAAAAGUAUAUGUUGUAUGUGUAUGUUACUAUAUACUAUUAUUUAAAAAAUUUCAUUUUAUUUUAUGUGAUAGUAUUUGAUUAGACGUUUAAUCAGUUUAACCACACAAUGAAGGAGGAUAACCGAACAAAAAUACACUCGCUUGUUGUCUUGUUCUUCGUCGCGUAUAGGUGGAUUAGAUAUCCUGGCAAUUCAUAUCGUAAACAAUGAAUUCAUAUCGUAAACAAUGAGUGUUCGUCCUUGGUCUACGUCAAUCGUCACGUCGACAAUAUAAAUAUAUAUAUAUAUAUAUUGUCAUCUUGUUCUCUGUCGUGUAUAGGUGGAUUAGAUAUGUUGGUAGUUUAUGUCGUAAACAAUGAGUGUUCGUUCUUGGUCUACAUCACUCGCCACGUCAAAAAGCCU